rnacentral:rRNA from 1 species
GACGAACGCUGGCGGCGUGCUUAACACAUGCAAGUCGAACGGUAAGGCCCUUCGGGGUACACGAGUGGCGAACGGGUGAGUAACACGUGGGUGAUCUGCCCUGCCCUUUGGGAUAAGCCUGGGAAACUGGGUCUAAUACCGAAUACACCCUGCUGGUCGCAUGGCCUGGGGGGGGAAAGCUUUUGCGGUGUGGGAUGGGCCCGCGGCCUAUCAGCUUGUUGGUGGGGUGAUGGCCUCCCAAGGCGACGACGGGUAGCCGGCCUGAGAGGGUGACCGGCCACACUGGGACUGAGAUACGGCCCAGACUCCUACGGGAGGCAGCAGUGGGGAAUAUUGCACAAUGGGCGCAAGCCUGAUGCAGCGACGCCGCGUGAGGGAUGACGGCCUUCGGGUUGUAAACCUCUUUCAAUAGGGACGAAGCGCAAGUGACGGUACCUAUAGAAGAAGGACCGGCCAACUACGUGCCAGCAGCCGCCGUAACAC